rnacentral:rRNA from 85 species
GGGUUGUGAGGUUAAGCGACUAAGCGUACACGGUGGAUGCCCUGGCAGUCAGAGGCGAUGAAGGGCGUGCUAAUCUGCGAUAAGCGCCGGUAAGGUGAUAUGAACCGUUAUAACCGGCGAUACCCGAAUGGGGAAACCCAGUGUGACUCGUCACACUAUCAUUAACUGAAUCCAUAGGUUAAUGAGGCGAACCGGGGGAACUGAAACAUCUAAGUACCCCGAGGAAAAGAAAUCAACCGAGAUUCCCCCAGUAGCGGCGAGCGAACGGGGAGGAGCCCAGAGCCUGAAUCAGCAUGUGUGUUAGUGGAAGCGUCUGGAAAGGCGCGCGAUACAGGGUGACAGCCCCGUACACAAAAGCGCAUGUGCUGUGAGCUCGAUGAGUAGGGCGGGACACGUGGUAUCCUGUCUGAAUAUGGGGGGACCAUCCUCCAAGGCUAAAUACUCCUGACUGACCGAUAGUGAACCAGUACCGUGAGGGAAAGGCGAAAAGAACCCCGGCGAGGGGAGUGAAAAAGAACCUGAAACCGUGUACGUACAAGCAGUGGGAGCACAGGUUUACCUGUGUGACUGCGUACCUUUUGUAUAAUGGGUCAGCGACUUAUAUUCUGUAGCAAGGUUAACCGAAUAGGGGAGCCGGAGGGAAACCGAGUCUUAAUUGGGCGUUAAGUUGCAGGGUAUAGACCCGAAACCCGGUGAUCUAGCCAUGGGCAGGUUGAAGGUUGGGUAACACUAACUGGAGGACCGAACCGACUAAUGUUGAAAAAUUAGCGGAUGACCUGUGGCUGGGGGUGAAAGGCCAAUCAAACCGGGAGAUAGCUGGUUCUCCCCGAAAGCUAUUUAGGUAGCGCCUCGUGAAUUCAUCUCCGGGGGUAGAGCACUGUUUCGGCUAGGGGGCCAUCCCGGCUUACCAACCCGAUGCAAACUGCGAAUACCGGAGAAUGUUAUCACGGGAGACACACGGCGGGUGCUAACGUCCGUCGUGAAGAGGGAAACAACCCAGACCGCCAGCUAAGGUCCCAAAGUCAUGGUUAAGUGGGAAACGAUGUGGGAAGGCCCAGACAGCCAGGAUGUUGGCUUAGAAGCAGCCAUCAUUUAAAGAAAGCGUAAUAGCUCACUGGUCGAGUCGGCCUGCGCGGAAGAUGUAACGGGGCUAAACCAUGCACCGAAGCUGCGGCAGCGACACUGUGUGUUGUUGGGUAGGGGAGCGUUCUGUAAGCCUGCGAAGGUGGCCUGUGAGGGUUGCUGGAGGUAUCAGAAGUGCGAAUGCUGACAUAAGUAACGAUAAAGCGGGUGAAAAGCCCGCUCGCCGGAAGACCAAGGGUUCCUGUCCAACGUUAAUCGGGGCAGGGUGAGUCGACCCCUAAGGCGAGGCCGAAAGGCGUAGUCGAUGGGAAACGGGUUAAUAUUCCCGUACUUGGUGUUACUGCGAAGGGGGGACGGAGAAGGCUAUGUUGGCCGGGCGACGGUUGUCCCGGUUUAAGCGUGUAGGUGUGUGUUCCAGGUAAAUCCGGUUCACUUUAACACUGAGGCGUGACGACGAGGCACUACGGUGCUGAAGCAACAAAUGCCCUGCUUCCAGGAAAAGCCUCUAAGCAUCAGGUAACAUCAAAUCGUACCCCAAACCGACACAGGUGGUCAGGUAGAGAAUACCAAGGCGCUUGAGAGAACUCGGGUGAAGGAACUAGGCAAAAUGGUGCCGUAACUUCGGGAGAAGGCACGCUGACACGUAGGUGAAGUGAUUUACUCAUGGAGCUGAAGUCAGUCGAAGAUACCAGCUGGCUGCAACUGUUUAUUAAAAACACAGCACUGUGCAAACACGAAAGUGGACGUAUACGGUGUGACGCCUGCCCGGUGCCGGAAGGUUAAUUGAUGGGGUCAGCGCAAGCGAAGCUCCUGAUCGAAGCCCCGGUAAACGGCGGCCGUAACUAUAACGGUCCUAAGGUAGCGAAAUUCCUUGUCGGGUAAGUUCCGACCUGCACGAAUGGCGUAAUGAUGGCCAGGCUGUCUCCACCCGAGACUCAGUGAAAUUGAACUCGCUGUGAAGAUGCAGUGUACCCGCGGCAAGACGGAAAGACCCCGUGAACCUUUACUAUAGCUUGACACUGAACAUUGAGCCUUGAUGUGUAGGAUAGGUGGGAGGCUUUGAAGUGUGGACGCCAGUCUGCAUGGAGCCGACCUUGAAAUACCACCCUUUAAUGUUUGAUGUUCUAACGUGGACCCGUUACCCGGGUUGCGGACAGUGUCUGGUGGGUAGUUUGACUGGGGCGGUCUCCUCCUAAAGAGUAACGGAGGAGCACGAAGGUUGGCUAAUCCUGGUCGGACAUCAGGAGGUUAGUGCAAUGGCAUAAGCCAGCUUGACUGCGAGCGUGACGGCGCGAGCAGGUGCGAAAGCAGGUCAUAGUGAUCCGGUGGUUCUGAAUGGAAGGGCCAUCGCUCAACGGAUAAAAGGUACUCCGGGGAUAACAGGCUGAUACCGCCCAAGAGUUCAUAUCGACGGCGGUGUUUGGCACCUCGAUGUCGGCUCAUCACAUCCUGGGGCUGAAGUAGGUCCCAAGGGUAUGGCUGUUCGCCAUUUAAAGUGGUACGCGAGCUGGGUUUAGAACGUCGUGAGACAGUUCGGUCCCUAUCUGCCGUGGGCGCUGGAGAACUGAGGGGGGCUGCUCCUAGUACGAGAGGACCGGAGUGGACGCAUCACUGGUGUUCGGGUUGUCAUGCCAAUGGCACUGCCCGGUAGCUAAAUGCGGAAGAGAUAAGUGCUGAAAGCAUCUAAGCACGAAACUUGCCCCGAGAUGAGUUCUCCCUGAGACUUAAAGUCUCCUGAAGGAACGUUGAAGACGACGACGUUGAUAGGCCGGGUGUGUAAGCGCAGCGAUGCGUUGAGCUAACCGGUACUAAUGAACCGUGAGGCUUAACCUUACAACGCCGAAG